rnacentral:miRNA from 1 species
GCAAAACGCCCUUAGGCGGUCGCCAACAGGCUGCAAUUUUUUUGACUCCUUCUGGAGUCUUGCUUCUAUCUCUUUGUUGGGCAUUUCGAUUCUUCCUUCAGUCGAAAAAUUAUUUAUUAUUGCUUUUUAGUUCGCAAAGCAAUAACAAGGAAAAUUUUCAGCUCAAGAAUCGAAAUGUACAUUAACGAAAUAGAAAUGAGACCUCCAAACGAAUCCAAAAAAAAUUGCAGUCUGUGGGCGACCGCCUAAGGGCGGUUUGC